rnacentral:piRNA from 1 species
UGACUCACACGAUAGGGACUGGGUA